rnacentral:rRNA from 1 species
CCCUUAGAUGUUCUGGGCCGCACGCGCGCUACACUGAUACGUUCAGCGAGUAUAUCACCUUGAUUGGAAAAUCUGGGUAAUCUUUUGAAUGCGUAUCGUGCUAGGGAUAGAUUAUUGCAAUUAUUAAUCUUGAACGAGGAAUUCCUAGUAAACGCAAGUCAUCAGCUUGCAUUGAUUACGUCCCUGCCCUUUGUACACACCGCCUGUCGCACAAACCGAUUGAAUGAUUCGGUGAAAAUUUUGGACAUCGAGAGUGGUGAUUAAUUUCGCUGCUCUUAAAUGGAAAGAAUUUAAACCUAAUUAUUUAGAGGAUUGUGAAGUCAUAACA